CCUACGGGUGGCAGCAGUGGGGAAUAUUGGACAAUGGGGGGAACCCUGAUCCAGCGACGCCGCGUGAGUGAAGAAGGAUUUCGGGAUGGAAAGCUCUAUCAGCAGGGAAGAAAAUGACGGUACCUGACUAAGAAGCCCCGGCUAACGAAGUGCCAGCAGCCGCGGUAAUACGGAGGGGGCAAGCGUUAUCCGGAUUUACGGGGGGUAAAGGGAGCGUAGACGGGGCAGCAGGUCUGAUGUGAAAGGUGGGGGCCCCACCCCGGGACUGCCUUGGAAACGGUUGAACUGGAGUACAGGAGAGGUAAGCGGAAUUCCUAGUGUAGCGGUGAAAUGCGUAGAUAUUAGGAGGAACUCCAGUGGCGAAGGCGGCUUACUGGACUGUACCUGACGUUGAGGCUCGCAAGCGUGGGUAGCAAACAGGAUUAGAUACCCGAGUAGUC
rnacentral:rRNA from 1 species